UACGAAGGGUGCAAACGUUGCUCGGAAUUAUUGGGCGUAAAGCGUGCGUAGGCGGCUGCGCAAGUCGGUUGUGAAACCCCGGGGCUCAACCCCGGAACUGCAUCCGAUACUGCGUGGCUAGAGGUAGGUAGGGGAGAUCGGAAUUCCUGGUGUAGCGGUGAAAUGCGCAGAUAUCAGGAGGAACACCGGUGGCGAAGGCGGAUCUCUGGGCCUUACCUGACGCUCAGGCACGAAAGCUAGGGGAGCGAACAGG
rnacentral:rRNA from 1 species